UACGAAGGGGGCUAGCGUUGCUCGGAAUCACUGGGCGUAAAGGGUGCGUAGGCGGGUCGUUAAGUCAGGGGUGAAAUCCUGGAGCUCAACUCCAGAACUGCCGUUGAUACUGAAGAUCUUGAGUUCGGGAGAGGUGAGUGGAACUGCGAGUGUAGAGGUGAAAUUCGUAGAUAUUCGCAAGAACACCAGUGGCGAAGGCGGCUCACUGGCCCGAUACUGACGCUGAGGCACGAAAGCGUGGGGAGCAAACAGG
rnacentral:rRNA from 1 species